UACGGGGGGGGCAAGCGUUGUUCGGAAUUACUGGGCGUAAAGGGCUCGUAGGCGGCCAACUAAGUCAGACGUGAAAUCCCUCGGCUUAACCGGGGAACUGCGUCUGAUACUGGAUGGCUUGAGUUUGGGAGAGGGAUGCGGAAUUCCAGGUGUAGCGGUGAAAUGCGUAGAUAUCUGGAGGAACACCGGUGGCGAAGGCGGCAUCCUGGACCAUUACUGACACUGAAAAGCGAAAGCCAGGGGAGCAAACGGG
rnacentral:rRNA from 1 species